AUUGAACGCUGGCGGCAGGCCUAACACAUGCAAGUCGAGCGGAUGAAGGGAGCUUGCUCCUGGAUUCAGCGGCGGACGGGUGAGUAAUGCCUAGGAAUCUGCCUGGCAGUGGGGGAUAACGUCCGGAAACGGGCGCUAAUACCGCAUACGUCCUGAGGGAGAAAGUGGGGGAUCUUCGGACCCCACGCUAUCAGAUGAGCCUAGGUCGGAUUAGCUAGUUGGUGGGGUAAAGGCCUACCAAGGCGACGAUCCGUAACUGGUCUGAGAGGAUGAUCAGUCACACUGGAACUGAGACACGGUCCAGACUCCUACGGGAGGCAGCAGUGGGGAAUAUUGGACAAUGGGCGAAAGCCUGAUCCAGCCAUGCCGCGUGUGUGAAGAAGGUCUUCGGAUUGUAAAGCACUUUAAGUUGGGAGGAAGGGCAGUAAGUUAAUACCUUGCUGUUUUGACGUUACCAACAGAAUAAGCACCGGCUAACUUCGUG
rnacentral:rRNA from 1 species